rnacentral:tRNA from 1 species
UCCCGCAUGGCUUGAUGAAUAGGCCGUCUGAGUUCUAAUCAGAAGAUUGUCGGUUCGAACCCGGCCGCGGGCU